ensembl:snoRNA
ACCUUCUUGUAUAAGUACUGCUAAGACUGCAGAAACCAAGGAUCACAUCUUGGUUUUUGUAAUAAUGCUAGCAGAGUACACACAGGAAAAGUAACUGCACUAGAUGGUAAAGACGGGGAUGGACCACCUCUUUCUUAAUAUCCAGUGUCUUUUGUCUUAAGAUUUGGUGUGAUAUGU